GGGAGUCGCCGAGCGCUGCCCGAAGUGCUGCCAGCUGGGGCCAACUUGAGAGAGUCCUCGCCCGCCCUCCUCCCGACGAGGCUCUGGCCGCAGCCCCACGAACGAAUGGGGGGAAAGGAGAAGGAGCGUCUCCCAGGAGCUCCCCCAGCUGCACCGCAUCGCCCCAGCCAGCCUGAAGGGAGAAGCGAGCGAGGAGCAGCCCCAGCAGGCGCCCUGCAGCUCAGCCCGGCUCUCCUCUCCUCCUCCCCAGUCUGCCAGCUCCUUCUCCCUUCAAAACUUUCCCCGGUGUUGCGUGCAGGGCUCUGCCGGCUGCUUCUUCCCCGCCGCUCUCCGGCUCCUCCCGCCUCGCA